GAUGAACGCUGGCGGCGUCCCUAAUACAUGCAAGUCGAGCGAACAGAUGAGAAGCUUGCUCCUCUGACGUUAGCGGCGGACGGGUGAGUAACACGUGGAAAACCUACCUAUAAGACUGGGAUAACUUCGGGAAACCGGAGCUAAUACCGGAUAAUAUAUUGAACGGCAUGGUUCAAUGUUAAAAAAGGGUUUUGCGUUCACUUAUAGAUGAAUCCGCGCCGCAUUAGCUAGUUGGUAAGGUAACGGCUUACCAAGGCAACGAUGCGUAGCCGACCUGAGAGGGUGAUCGGCCACACUGGAACUGAGACACGGUCCAGACUCCUACGGGAGGCAGCAGUAGGGAAUCUUCCGCAAUGGGCGAAAGCCUGACGGAGCAACGCCGCGUGAGUGAUGAAGGUCUUCGGAUCGUAAAACUCUGUUAUUAGGGAAGAACAAAUGUGUAAGUAACUAUGCACGUCUUGACGGUACCUAAUCAGAAAGCCACGGCUAACUACGUG
rnacentral:rRNA from 1 species